UUAGUCUGGCAGGAACGGAGCCACUUGUUUUCCUCUCCGACCUCUUAGAAACCUUCAACUGCCUUUGGACGAGCGAGCGUGCACUUGUUGUGACACCGACAGCUGCAACUUCCCAGCUCGAGAGUCUGAGCCUGUAGACACUCCCUACCAAAGGGCAGAAAGCGCCAUUUCAGCAACAGCUUUGGGGAGCUCAAAAGCGAAUAGCUAAAAGAAAAUGCUGCGUUUCCAUAAGACGUUCAGGUUCCUGAAUGCAACAAUGAGGAAUCAGAUCGUUCCUCGAGCAAAUAUCACGGAGAAGCCACCUAAGGAGAUCAUAACCCCAAUAGACCAAGCUAUUGCACUGACUGUGAUGUUUGCAACCUUCUUGGUCCCAUCCGGUUGGAUAUUGAGCCAUAUGGAGGAUUACAAGAAUGCGCACC